GACGAACGCUGGCGGCGUGCCUAAUACAUGCAAGUCGAACGCAGUGGGGACGGGUGAUUAACACGUGGGUAACCUCCCAUCAGAGGGGAUAACACUUGGAAACAGGUGCUAAACCGAUACUGAUGGAUGGACACGCGGGGCAUUAGCUAGUUGGGGCGGUAACGGCUCACCAAGGCCACGAUGCAUAGCGGACCUGAGAGGGGGACCGGCCACACUGGGACUGAGACACGGCCCAGACUCCUACGGAAGGCAGAAGUGGGGAAUAUUGCACAAUGGGCGCAAGCCUGAUGCAGCCAUGCCGCGUGUAUGAAGAAGGCCCUAGGGUUGUAAAGUACUUUCAGUCGGGAGGCGUUACCGACAGAAGAAGCACCGGCUAACUCCGUGCCAGCAGCCGCGGUAAUUC
rnacentral:rRNA from 1 species